rnacentral:rRNA from 1 species
UACGGGGGGGGCAAGCGUUGUUCGGAAUUACUGGGCGUAAAGGGCGCGUAGGCGGCCUUCUAAGUCGAACGUGAAAUCCCCGGGCUCAACCCGGGAACUGCGUCCGAUACUGGGAGGCUUGAAUCCGGGAGAGGGAUGUGGAAUUCCAGGUGUAGCGGUGAAAUGCGUAGAUAUCUGGAGGAACACCGGUGGCGAAGGCGGCAUCCUGGACCGGUAUUGACGCUGAGGCGCGAAAGCCAGGGGAGCGAACGGG